rnacentral:rRNA from 1 species
UGGGGAAUAUUGGACAAUGGGCGAAAGCCUGAUCCAGCCAUGCCGCGUGUGUGAAGAAGGUCUUCGGAUUGUAAAGCACUUUAAGUUGGGAGGAAGGGCAGUAAGCGAAUACCUUGCUGUUUUGACGUUACCGACAGAAUAAGCACCGGCUAACUCUUUGCCAGCAGCCGCGGUAAUACAGAGGGUGCAAGCGUUAAUCGGAAUUACUGGGCGUAAAGCGCGCGUAGGUGGUUCGUUAAGUUGAAUGUGAAAGCCCCGGGCUCAACCUGGGAACUGCAUCCAAAACUGGCGAGCUAGAGUAGGGCAGAGGGUGGUGGAAUUUCCUGUGUAGCGGUGAAAUGCGUAGAUAUAGGAAGGAACACCAGUGGCGAAGGCGACCACCUGGGCUCAUACUGACACUGAGGUGCGAAAGCGUGGGGAGCAAACAGG